GGUUUUUUGAAUAUAAUUUAAGAUUAGUUCUGCUCAAUGAUUUGAAAUUAAAUAGCCGCAGUAUUUUGACUGUGCUAAGGUAGCAUAAUCAAUUGUUUUUUAAUUAAGAACUGGAAUGAAGGAAUUGAUGAGAUUAAGACUGUCUAAUAUAAAAUGUUAAAAUUUAAAUUUUAAGUAAUAAUUCUUAAAUAAAGUUAUGGGACGAGAAGACCCUAUAGAAUUUGAUAUAAUUUUUUAAAAUAAAAUAAGAUUUAAUAAAAUUAAUAUUUUAUUGGGAGGAUAAUUAAAUUAAAUUAACUUUAAAAUUAAAAUUAAACAUUAAUUUAUGAAUAGUUGAAUAAUUUUAUAAUAAUAAUUAAAAUUAAUUAAAAAUUAAUUACCUUAGGGAUAACAGCGUAAUAUUUUUAAAAAGAUCAUAUUGAUAAAAGUGUUUGCGACCUCGAUGUUGAAUUAAAAUAAAAAUUAAAUGAAGAAGUUUAAUAUUUUA
rnacentral:rRNA from 1 species